GGAUGAACUGAGGGUAGCGGAGAAAUUCCAAUCGAACCUGGAGAUAGCUGGUUCUCUCCGAAAUAGCUUUAGGGCUAGCCUCAAGUGAUGAUUAUUGGAGGUAGAGCACUGUUUGGACGAGGGGCCCCUCUCGGGUUACCGAAUUCAGACAAACUCCGAAUGCCAAUUAAUUUAACUUGGGAGUCAGAACAUGGGUGAUAAGGUCCGUGUUCGAAAGGGAAACAGCCCAGACCACCAGCUAAGGUCCCAAAAUAUAUGUUAAGUGGAAAAGGAUGUGGCGUUGCCCAGACAACUAGGAUGUUGGCUUAGAAGCAGCCAUCAUUUAAAGAGUGCGUAAUAGCUCACUAGUCGAGUGACACUGCGCCGA
rnacentral:rRNA from 1 species